rnacentral:tRNA from 1 species
GUUGUUGUGGCCGAGUGGUUAAGGCGAUGGACUCGAAAUCCAUUGGGGUCACCCCCGCGCAGGUUCAAAUCCUGUCAACAACG